GGGACCGACCUGGCUUCGACGUGGGUACGGAGUCGGCGCGGGGCAUGCCGAGCACCAGUUCGCUCGUAAAUCCACUGGAAACAAAGUAACUGCGAACGAUCAAACGUACGCCCUCGCCGCUUAAAACCGGUGAGCCUCGCAACAGCUGGCCUAUGGGCUGGGUCUGAGGUCGAAAGGCCGAUGACUGCGAGGU
rnacentral:tmRNA from 1 species